rnacentral:rRNA from 1 species
CCUACGGGAGGCAGCAGUGGGGAAUAUUGGACAAUGGGGGGAACCCUGAUCCAGCGACGCCGCGUGAGUGAAGAAGUAUUUCGGUAUGUAAAGCUCUAUCAGCAGGGAAGAAAGAAAUUACGGUACCUGACUAAGAAGCCCCGGCUAACUACGUGCCAGCAGCCGCGGUAAUACGUAGGGGGCAAGCGUUAUCCGGAUUUACUGGGUGUAAAGGGAGCGUAGACGGCGAUGCAAGUCUGAAGUGAAAGGCGGGGGCCCAACCCCCGGACUGCUUUGGAAACUGUAUGGCUGGAGUGCAGGAGAGGUAAGUGGAAUUCCUAGUGUAGCGGUGAAAUGCGUAGAUAUUAGGAGGAACACCAGUGGCGAAGGCGGCUUACUGAACUGUAACUGACGUUGAGGCUCGAAAGCGUGGGGAGCAAACAGGAUUAGAUACCCCAGUAGUC